rnacentral:rRNA from 1 species
UUAAGUGAACAAGGGCAUACGGCGGAUGCCUUGGCGCCAAGAGCCGAUGAAGGACGCGGUAAGCUGCGAAAAGGCAUGGGUAGGAGCAAGCAUCCUGUGAUCCAUGCAUAUCCGAAUGGGGCAACCCACCAUCAGUCAUGUGAUGGUACGAAAGAGGCAGACCUGGGGAACUGAAACAUCUAAGUACCCAGAGGAAAAGUAAUCAAUUGAGAUUCCCUAAGUAGCGGCGAGCGAAAGGGGAAGAGCCCAAACCAUGAAACUUCGGUUUUGUGGGGUUGAGGACCGGCAAAAAGAGGAAACUUCUUAGUCGAAUGGUUUGGAAAGGCCAUGCAUAGAAGGUAAAACACCUGUAGGCGAAAAGAAGUCAAUCGGGCUGGUAUCCAGAGUACUGCGAGACACGUGAAACCUUGCAGGAAGCAGGGGGGACCACCCUCCAAGGCAAAAUACUACUUGGCGACCGAUAGCGCAUAGUACCGUGAGGGAAAGGUGAAAAGAACCCCGGGAGGGGAGUGAAAUAGAACCUGAAACCGUAUGUCUACAAGCAGUCGAAGCACCUUAAGAGUGCGACGGCGUGCCUAUUGAAGAAUGAACCGGCGAGUUACAUUAUGUUGCGAGGUUAAGUGGGAGACACGGAGCCGAAGCGAAAGCGAGUCUUAAUAGGGCGACUAGUAACAUGGUGUAGACCCGAAACCGCAGUGAUCUAUCCAUGGUCAGGUUGAAGCGCAGGUAAAAAUGCGUGGAGGACCGAACCCGUGAGUGUUGAAAAACUUUGGGAUGAACCGUGGAUAGGGGUGAAAUGCCAAUCGAACGCGGAGAUAGCUGGUACUCCCCGAAAUAGCUUUAGGGCUAGCCUCAGGGAAGAUUAUAGACGGUAGAGCACUGAUCUGGCAAGGGGGCGUAAAGCCUACCGACCCUAGUCAAACUUCGAAUGGCUAUAAUUAAGACCCUGGGAGUCAGACUGCGAGUGAUAAGACCCGUAGUCAAGAGGGAAACAGCCCAGACCGCCGACUAAGGUCCCCAAUGCUGUACUAAGUGGAAAAGGAUGUAAGACUUCAUAAACAACCAGGAUGUUGGCUUAGAAGCAGCCACCAUUAAAAGAGUGCGUAAUAGCUCACUGGUCGAGAGGCCUUGCGCCGAAGAUGUCCGGGGCUCAAGUACAGAACCGAAGUCGCGGCAGGAUUUAUAAUUCUGGGUAGGGGAGCGUUGUAUAUCCGACUGAAGGUGUACCGGAAGGAGCGCUGGAGGAUAUACAAGAGAGAAUGCCGGUAUGAGUAGCGAAAAGAACAGUGAGAAUCUGUUCCACCGAAAGCCUAAGGUUUCCUGAGCAACGCUCGUCGACUCAGGGUAAGUCGGGACCUAAGCCGAGGCAAAAAGCAUAGGCGAUGGACAACAGGUUAAUAUUCCUGUACCGCUUCAAAUCGUUUGAGCAAUGGAGUGACACAGAAGGUAGCUUGAGCACGCGAAUGGAUGUGCGUGUCGAAGGUGGUAGAUUGCAGUAUAGGCAAAUCCGUACUGUAUAAGAUCGAGAACUGAUAGAUAGACGAUACUUCGGUAAAGUCAAAUUCAAGUGAGCCAUGCUGUCGAGAAAAGCUUCUAGUGAGAGAUGAGGCGCCCGUACCGAAACCGACACAGGUAGGCGGGGAGAGAAUCCUAAGGUGCGCGGGACAACCCUCGUUAAGGAACUCGGCAAAUUGUAUCCGUAACUUAGGGAUAAGGAUAGCCGGAGGAUGUGAAGGGAUUUACUUCUGGAGCGUCAGCCGGUGGCACAAGAGAGGCCCAAGCGACUGUUUAGCACAAACACAGGUGCCUGCGAAAGAGAAAUCUGAAGUAUAGGUGCUGACACCUGCCCGGUGCUGGAAGGUUAAGAGGAGGGCUUAGAGGCAACUCGAAGGCUUGAAUUGAAGCCCCAGUAAACGGCGGCCGUAACUAUAACGGUCCUAAGGUAGCGAAAUUCCUUGUCGGGUAAG